GAUGAACGCUGGCGGCGUGCCUAACACAUGCAAGUCGCGCGAGGUUUCGAACCGAGCGGCGAACGGGUGAGUAACACGUAAGCAACCUACCCUCAAGACUGGCACAACCAGUCGAAAGACUGGCUAAUUCCAGAUGUGAUUACGGAAAGACAUCUUUCUGUAAUUAAACCCAGCAAUGGGCUUGAGGAUGGGCUUGCGGCCUAUCAGCUAGUUGGUGAGGUAAUGGCUCACCAAGGCAAUGACGGGUAGCUGGUCUGAGAGGACGACCAGUCACAAGGGAACUGAGACACGGUCCCUACUCCUACGGGAGGCAGCAGUGAGGAAUUUUCCGCAAUGGGCGAAAGCCUGACGGAGCGACGCCGCGUGUGGGAUGGAGUCUUUCGGGAUGUAAACCACUGUCAGAGGGGACGAUAUUGACGGUACCCUCAGAGGAAGGCCCGCUAACU
rnacentral:rRNA from 1 species